UACGAAGGGGGCUAGCGUUGCUCGGAAUCACUGGGCGUAAAGGGCGCGUAGGCGGAUCUUUAAGUCGGGGGUGAAAGCCCAGGGCUCAACCCUGGAAUUGCCUUCGAUACUGAAGAUCUUGAGACCGGUAGAGGUAAGUGGAACUGCGAGUGUAGAGGUGAAAUUCGUAGAUAUUCGCAAGAACACCAGUGGCGAAGGCGGCUUACUGGACCGGUUCUGACGCUGAGGCGCGAAAGCGUGGGGAGCGAACAGG
rnacentral:rRNA from 1 species